rnacentral:tRNA from 1 species
GCUUUCGUAGCUCAAUGGAGCAGAGCGCCGGGCUUCGAACCCGGAGGUUGCAGGUUCGAGUCCUGCCGGGAGCGCCA